GAAAGGAUUGGGGGGGGGGGGGGGAGGAUGGGAGAAGCAGAGGGAAGGGGAGGAGUUUAUCCAGCUCCGGCCUUUAAUCCCAGCAGCGAGGUGUCGGGAGGGACCUUCUCAAGAGCAUGAGAUGCCUUUACGAACGCUGUUCGCUUUCUCACUCUUCCGCCCUUUCAAAAAUAUCCGGAGCAUCCUGGGGGGGAUUGCGACGGCGAUCUUCAAGAAAUACAAGAAUUCAGAUUUAUCUCCCUCUUUAUGGAAUUCUCAGGAUUUAACAGGCGCAAAGGUUCCUAUAGGAUGUCAUGGAAGGAAACAGAGCCAGAAAUGAGACCACAGAAGUUAGCAACAUCGUCACCGAGUCAGAAAAGGACAUUAACAGCACAGGGACAGAGAAGCAGAAUUCCCGCAGACAGAAAACGGUGCCUGGGGUAGCCUGGGAGUCCCCCCGGAAAAGAGGAGUGGGGUCUGUAACACACUUCCCCCCAACAUUUAUAUAAAACUCUUCCACUAACGAAGUGCUGCUGCCAAGGGAUAUGGGAAUGACGGACCGCUGGAAUCAAGAAGUGAGAAAAUUACUAAUGAAUAAGUCUAUCAAAAAACUGUCAUGACAUUUUUCAUUGCUAGUAUUGGUCUUGAAAGUUAAAAAAUAAUGAAAAAAAAAACCAUAGAAUUUCUUUAGAAGGAUUUUAGCACUAGGUAUCCUAA